rnacentral:lncRNA from 1 species
GAGAAAGAUUUUCUAAUGCAGCGGAAAUAAAGUCGAUUUAGCACAGAACAAAGACGACUAAAAAUAAAAGUGUAGGGAUCAUAGAAAUCAAACACUGCUUUUUAUACUGGUUCGGCCAACCCGCCUACAUCUAGUGUCCUUCUAAUCACAGGAAGCAAAUGCACUAUAACGAUCAAGGUUUUUACAACAAGGCUUUUAUAGAGACCUCACGACAAAAAAAAAACAAAAAAAAAAACAUCUCUCUAACCCUCUAAUCAAAAUAUAGGCAUACAAUAACAAGACCAACAACAAGAAUCCCUUCUUUUGCUUUCUACACCCUUUGAGAAACCCCUCAAAGUCAAGAACGCAACACACUCUUCUUCCUAUAAUCACAAU